ensembl:lncRNA
CCACACCUGGCAGACUACAGUGUUUGGGUGCGCCGCAUUCAUUUACCCUUGUAGAACGUUGCGUCGCAUAAGUUCCGCUUUUGGCGCUCGGGUGUAAAAUCAUAAUAAAGAAAAAAAAAAAUGAGUUGGUCAGCACGGGGUGGCCACAGGGGUGGCCAGGGACAUGUCUACGGGGGCACGGGCCACCCCAGGCCUCCGUGUAGAACCGCCACUGAUAAUCAGAUUAGAAAAGUUAAGUAGGAAUUAGUAGCCUAUCAACGCAACACGUCAAGUGUUCAGAUUCAGAAGGCUGCCGCUAUCAGCAGCAUCCAGCUGUGCGCGGCAACACCUGUUUUUUGGUGUGAGAAUCAAUCCCUGAUCUCAGCAUCGUCAUCUCAUGGGAUAGUUUCAUAUGAACUAAAGAAGAAUGGUGAUCUCUUCGUUCGUGUGGUAAUUUGUCUGUAUGAGGAGUGACAUGACGGGCCAUGAUGAGUAAAAUCCCCGUUCAUAAAUUACAUAGGCUUUUUAAAAAUCGAAUCGAAUCGAUCUCUUAGCCUCAUGGACGCAGCUGUAACAGCGAGUGAUACUUAACCAUCCUAACUUUACAGAAUCAUUGUAGAGCUACAGAACCUGUACCAAAUUGACAUAAUUGAUGUGUUUGUGAUUUAUAACUCGUUGUUGUGUGGCACUUUAUGAAAUAUAUCUAUUUGUGUACCAUAUGCCCAAAAGGUUUAACAUUAACCAAGCUGCGCUAUCUAUUGCUAGCUACCUAAGGAAAUUGAAAAUAUUCUAUAACACAGAGCUCUAUGAACAAAGAGUUUAGGAUACUCCCCCGCCUAUUAUAAAGUUCUGUGAUCUUUGAUGAACUGUGUUGGAAGACAUAACCGUAAGAACCAGAGACUAAUGCAGCUUUUAUGUAAGGGAUAAUGUAUAGUCCGGAGGUCAUUAUCGGGGGAAAAAUCCCGACGGGACGAACAGGACCCCGACGCGCAGCAGAUAAGUGUAUUUAUUAUACGGCUCCUCAGAAUGUUCCAAAAAGUUCCGUUGAUUUGAAUGGGCCAUCGCGAAUUAAUGACUGCUGUCAUUGGCAACGGGUUUUAUGAUUCUAAUUCACAUCUUCCAUAUCAUUCAAGUAAUCCGUUCACCUAAUUAAUUGUAACUUGAAGUCAGCAAGUACUGGAACGGAAACCCUUGACUUUAGUGAAACCGUGGCAACGGGUGAUAUGUCUAGUUGAGAGCUGUAUAUGUGACGUGACCUGAGGCUCAGUAGUACCACACGUCACAAUGCAGUUAUAUUGGUGUAUAACUUACCUCCUAGCCCCUUUCAUUCCAACUUGUGUAAUUGUCCGGAUAAGUAAAGUAGCCUAAUGUAGAUGUUAUACACCACUGUGCCAAAUGGAUGAGGUAACCGAUGAGGUAAGAUUUUUAUCAUUAUAAAAAUGUCUGUUUGUGAAAAUUGUUGCCUAUCACUAAUUGAAUAAUCCUCUAAAAUAUCAUGUUAAGACAUACAGGAUGCAAAAUGUUAUGUCUGGUUACGACAAUGCCGUUUCAUACACUGUAUUUAUUUUUCAAUAUAUCUUUAUUAAUUUCUAAAUAUUGCUCUCAUUCAUGUUUUGCUCUGCUCUGGGGAUCUCAAUAAUUAUCAUAAGAAUAAGGGUUUUACAAAUUAUUAUAUUAUAUUAUAUUUAUUUAAUUUAUUCUGAACUGUUGUGUUGUAUAUUUCUGUAUAAAUACAUUGAGAGCCACUAAAUCCGGAGGCAAAUUCCUUGUAUGUGUAAACUUACUUGGCCAAUAAACAUGAUUCUGAUUCUGAUUCUGAUAAGAACCGUUACAUGAAUGAAUGAUUUUCCAUUUGUGUGAUCUUGUCUUCCAGGAGUCUGAUGAUGACUCUUACAAUUUGAGGAAACCUAAAGGAACGAAACUGACUGUUGCUGAGGGUGAUUCGGCAUGCUACAAUAGGGCACAUUUGGGAGAGACGCUAUACCAGGAGUCUCCCGGAUUUGAGCUAUCCGAUCCAAAUAUGCACCUGAUUGAUGGCACCUACAACUGCCUCCAUGAUGUCCAUUUAAGGACAUUUUUCAAAAAGCCAGAAAGAAAAAAAAAGCUUCUACAGAAUGGCUUAAUUACUACUGAUGAGAAGGUUAGUGACUGUAAAGACUAUCUAUUGGUACUUAAAUGAAAUAUAAUGGUAAAUGUUGGUUGAAAAGAUGUCUUUAGACGAUUGGUUAAAAAUGUAAAGAAUACAUUAGUGUUUAGUUGUUUGCUAGGGUGCUGCUAUGGUAGUUGAAAUGCUUGUUCAGGGUUUUUCCUGGGUCAAAAUGGGUCUUCGGUGCUCAAAAAAAAAAUGUGUGUGUGUGUUACCAUGUCACCUUAUUAGCUUACAUUUUACCAUUUCAUAAAUAAUGAGGAUAUGCUUCAGGAAAUCAUUUUGCUUCCACUUUAGAUUCAAAUAGAUUGACAAUAGUCCAAGCCCCAUGGUGCUAUCAUGUAUGGUUCAAAGAUUAUAAAGGUUUACCUCUUUACAUAUGCAAACUACUGAAAUGUAUAUCAAUAGAAUCUAGAACUAACCAGUGGUCAG